rnacentral:pre_miRNA from 1 species
AGCCUACUUUAUCCAUGCUGAGAUCUCGUCACACACUAGACCACAAGGGCCGAUGAGACUUCCAAGAUAAGUGAAGCG